rnacentral:rRNA from 1 species
GUAGGUGGCAAGCGUUGUCCGGAAUUAUUGGGCGUAAAGCGCGCGCAGGCGGUUCUUUAAGUCUGAUGUGAAAGCCCACGGCUCAACCGUGGAGGGUCAUUGGAAACUGGAGAACUUGAGUACAGAAGAGGAAAGCGGAAUUCCACGUGUAGCGGUGAAAUGCGUAGAGAUGUGGAGGAACACCAGUGGCGAAGGCGGCUUUCUGGUCUGUAACUGACGCUGAGGCGCGAAAGCGUGGGGGAGCAAACAGGAUUAGAUACCCUGGUAGUCCACGCCGUAAACGAUGAGUGCUAAGUGUUAGGGGGGUUCCGCCCCUUAGUGCUGCAGCUAACGCAUUAAGCACUCCGCCUGGGAGUACGGCCGCAAGGCUG